CGUGGGGAGUGCAGAACAGAAAUGACCCGUUGUCCGCUGGCAGCUCACCCUGAAGGAAGGCGGUGUAAAGUGUCAGCCUGACCUCGGCUCCCGCCCCAGUUCUGCCACUGAACUUCAGGCCAAGUCCCUUCGCCACAAAAGGGAACAUCCACACAUCGAAGGAACCUGGAUACCUUUGAGGUCAUUAUUCAGCUUACCAUGCCCAUUUUCCCCGAUGGGGAAUUUGGGCCUCGAAAGAUUUCUCCACUCCCUCACUGGUCCACUGUGGGAGUGUUGCCUUCAUGAAUCACCUGCAUACGGAUCCUCA